AUAUUUGAUCCUUGGUUCAGGCAACCCAUGCCCAAGCCCAUAGGUCAUAAUGCUAAACACUGCAUCUUUACUACAAGGAAGCCAAGCAUACUGGACAUUGGCUUUCCCACGAACCUUUUUGAUAAUUUCAAGCUGCUUCUCAAAAAGGUCCAACCGAGUCUGCAGUAAGCUACUAGAACAUUUAUUGAUUCCAGAUAUGCUCACUUUGAAGAAUGGCUUCGUUGCCUUCUGGAACAUAUUUCUAAUAGUUCCUGCAUCAACAAUUUUGGAUGAAGCUUCCAUGAAAUCUCCACCAAUACGAUUAUUAUCCCCAACAGUAUGAUUCAAUUUAGCAUCUGAGUAAGCAUCCUGCUUGCCGUCAUAAUCUAACUGUCUAGGAUUUUUAACAGAUUCUUGCUCCAUCCUCAUCUUCUUGACCCCAAUGUUGGAUUCUUCCACCUCCUCCAAAUUACCACUAUUAAGUCCAUUUACAUCUAUCUCCAAAUGUAGCUUGAUUUCUUGAGAUCCAUUUAGGUCAUUACCAACAAAAGCUUCAUCUCUAUCUGCCUCAGUUUGGCAGUGUCCAUGCCCAUAUAAUUCAGGAAAGAAGCAUCUACCUUCUUCAUCAAUCCAAGCUAUAGGUUUCUGUGAACCAGUUGUCAGCUCAACCUGGACCAUGUAUAAGAUAUCUAGGAUCACAGGUUCACCAUGGAACUUCAUCUCAAUUGCAGGAUUCUUGACUCGAAACUCUGUUCUGACCAAGUCCACCUUGUCUUGAGGAAAAUCGGUCCACUCGCCAUUCUCGUGAAGCAGAAAGCGCUCUGGCAGCCCACUCUUGAUGAAGUUUGAGUAGUUCUUCAGCAAAGACUUCGUUGAGUGCAACUGACAAUUUGUCUUGCGCCCAUCCUGUCUUUUCCUCUUUCCUGUUUUGUUCAGGGAUGAAAUACUGUCAGAUCGUACUGACAACUUCUUGUUGGUUGCUCUAAUUACCUGAGCCGAAGACUUAGGUGCCUUUGUUUUCUGUAAGUCAACACCAAUCCUACGGCCAUUUUCAACAACUUUAACUCUCUUUGACUCCAUUAUCUACAAAGACUAUCUAAUAUUCACAAACUGUAAUCGACAGGGCUAACUACUUUAAUCCAGUAUAGUUCCUCCGGAAAAAAUAGCUGGGGAAUAACUCCAUGGAGAUUAAACUGCAUAACCUGAAAAAAAAAGAAAAAGAAAAAACAAUUAGUUUCAGACUGCAUAUUCCACUUGCCUAUGAAAUACUAUUAAUCAGGAGCUUACGAACUACUCUAUACAUUUUUACAAAAUAAUGGCUGCAUUAGACCUUUAGAAAUUAUUACACUUGAAAAGGGAAUACAAAAAAUGCAACUAUGAGAGCAAUUGAAUAGAGGAAUUAGACAUAGACUUCCAAAGCUGAAAUUCUCCAGAUACAAAAGAACGUGGCAACCAUGGAAGCAAAGACCACUGAGAAAGGAUGAAUUACAAGCAUUGGCAAUCGCCACAAUGAAGAUAAUUUGUGAACGUCAUAUGCUGCAAGGUGAUAUCAAGAAAUUGACAACACAAUGCAUGGAAUGCUAAUGAAUUUCUGGAACUGGCAUCUGAUAUUUAACAAAGGAACAGUUAUGCGACUCUUCAUCAGCAGAUGUGAAAAAAGAUAGCGGAACACACAGUGAUGUAGGCUACAGCUAAUUAUGUAUGUACAUACCAAAUCCUGCGAGGAGAGACGAUCACUGUACAAGCCUCUGUUCUCCAUAGACAUGCUGUUAGUUCGACAAGUUCUUUCCUAUUUCUUUUGACUAAAAACUAAACAGCUGCUCUGACAAACUUAAACCACACUAAAAUGACAAAAUUUUGUCAGCACUUCAAAUAUGAAAUGACAAUAAUAAUAAUAAAAAAGAAAGAUAUAAAGAAACUAAACAUAAAAAAAAUACAUAAAAGGACAUUUCACACAUGAAAAUAGUUGCUUCAAAAAAAUUUCUGAAAUAACACACUCCAUGACUCAGAAAAGUACAAUUAGGUGCAAGUAGAAUUGUAGGUCAGGGGAAACCCCUUAAUUACUGAACUUAACGGAAAAAAAAUUUUGACCAAGAUGCUUAAUUAUCUCUUGCCAAGAAACCAUCAACUAUGCAAGCUCCAAUCCUUAAAAUCUAGAUUUGAGAAAGAAAGCCCUGUAUUUAUAUCUUUUGUAAUAAAACACAAUGCUGAAAGUGGACUACCAAACUUGAGGGGGAAAAUAUCUUUAUGCAAUCUAUUAUUUCCCUUAUAAGGAUAACAGGCUGCCUACAUUUCAAAGGGGCCAACAGCUAAACAUCUUGGAGCCUACAGCUCAAUUCUUCAGUCCAUGCAUUUAAAGCUUUACCAAUAACAAUAUGUGUGCAAACAAAGGUAACAAUAGUCAAUUUGUCAAUUGGUCAAUUUUUCCAAAAGAAUUUCACAGCAUGAAACACGCAAAACAUAUGCAUACAAAUGCACGCAUAUCAAAGCGCGAUACAUACACCAUAGCACCCACAUAAAAGGCAAUAAAGGAAAUGAAUUGAGUGCUCCACACGUAAGCGUAGAGUAAAUGCAGGACGGAGGCAGCAAAUUUCAAUCUAUUUGCAUUUUCCCCACAACCAAGCCAACGAAAUCAUGUGUUUUGAAAACACACUUUUACUUUUGCAUAAAAAAAUAAAAAUAAACACUGUAGAACAAGUCAAACCCCUAACAAGUAAUUAGUACAAGGUAUACAACCGAAAAUGUCAAGAGGCAAUCCACAAACUUCAAUGGUGCUUCAGACCUGUAAGCACAGAGUAAAUGUACAAUCCCCAUCCUUUAAUUAAUUUUCCAAUCCCCACAGUUUCACCAAAUCCCAUAUCUGCUCAUAACUAUCUUGUAAUUGACCCACUACUUCCACCAUAAUCAUGUUCUGUACAAAAACGGAUUACUUACAUCGCAUGUUUCUUAAACACGCUUUUAGUUUUACUGAAAAGAACAUAUAUAUUCAAAUAAACCCCAGCACCAAGCCAAAUCAGAAACAGGACUCUCCAGUAAACGCUAUUACCUCCAGAGUAAUUACAUUAUUUAAUCCAAUAUUACUAAUCCUAUGAACUUUAAUUCAACAAAUUUAAACCUAAAACUGAUAGAAAACAUAACAGCUUGUCUCCUCAUGGUCCUUACUUCAUAUAGACUUACCAACUUAUUUGACCAAAAAAAGAAUAGGAAUCCCAAAAUUUAAAUAAAAAAAAAAACACCCAUAGAAGACUACAAAAAAUCCACAAGCCCUACAGAAUCAAAAACCGAAAACUAAAAAUAAACACCCAUAUAAAUAGAAAAAACCGAAAUUUUUGUUAAAAUCCAAUCCAAUUCAAAGUUUCAGCCACCAAAAACAAAUCACCACCAGAAUAUCCACUCAAACUUCAUAACUAACACCGAUCUGUAAAAUUCGAACAAAAUCUAAUACCAAAACGUCCAGAAAACAAAAAGAUUAAAACUUCAGACCAUGAAAAAAAAAUUUCCGUACAAGAUAAAAAAAAACCUUAAUUUUUCUGAUUGGUCAAUUUCAAAAUCAAUGAAAAAAUAUAUUCAAUCAUGCCAAUCAAGCCCCAGACAAACAUUAAAAAAAAAAGCUAAACUAAGAAAUCUUAAAAGUCAGACACAGAAUUUUUCAAAAAAAAAAUUAGCAACAAAUCAAUUUUACCUUCUUCUGUAGUAAACAAAAAAGCGCUUCAUCGGGGAUGAUGCUCUCUCUCGGCGCUGAAACGUCGUCGUCUCGGCGAUUAGUGAAACAGAAGAAGAUGACGACUUUUAUUUACUACGGAGAAAAAAAAACGAGGAUGAGACGACGACGUUGGGAAUCAAACGGCCAAAAGCAUAUAGGGUUUUGAGAUUUAUUCUUAUCAGUUGCAGAAAUAUAAAAAGUUGAAUUCCACUUUUUAUUUAUUCUAUUUCUAUGCUGAUAAAGGAUAUUUUCGGUGCCGUUUUCUUUGAUAAAAUCGUUGCUUGGGAGAAAAGGAAAAAAGGAGAGAAAAUUUUUUAGGAAAAAAAAAAAUAAGAGAGCGAUGAAGAAGAGAGAGAAAAGUCGGCGUCCUCACUGACCUGGUAGUUUCCAGGAUUCGGGUGUGAAACUUUAGGGAUAGGAGUUGGGCAAAGGAGGUACGACAGCGACAUGCAAAACUACGUUCUUCAGCGUCGUUUCAUGCUUUGUCCCAACUCAACGACGCCGUUAAUUCGUUCCUGUGUGGAUCUGAAGCCAAAUGUCAGCAAUAUUCUGUUGAAGAUAAAUGAUAGAGAGUUUGUGUUUUCAAGAAGCCCCGUGACCCAAGUAGAAAUUAAAACAGAAAAAGAAGAAAAUAACAAAAAAAUAAAAAUAAGAGCAAGUUUCUCUUUUUUUAUUUUGUCAUUCUACAUUAAAAAUGUUUACACAGGUGAUGUACAUGAAAAUGAAGUUAUACAGUUGCUUUUACCGAUGAGUAUCAAUUCAUUGCUCUGUGCAUAAAAGAAACAUUAGCAGUUAGAUAAUGCGUCAAGAGUUUAUUAUUAUAUUACAAAUAUAAAUAGGGUAUUCAAAAGCUGCGAUCAAUGGUAGAAUUUCCCACAUUUAAUUAGUAGAAGAUACAUGAGGGUGGAUAUUCUAAAAAUUAACGCUAUCAAGGAAAACUUUUUCUUGUGUCAAAAGAAAGUAAACAUUAUUAUUAGGGAAAUUUGCCAAAUUGAUUCCUAACAUAUAUCAAAAAAACUUUUUUAGUUCUUAACAUUUAAAAUCAGUCAGAAUUGUUCCUAACAUUUAAAUGUCCUAACAUUUAAAUUUUGAUCUAUUUUGGUCCUAAUACUCGUAUUUACUCAUUUCUUCGACUGAAAAUAGCAUUUUCUUACUAUUCUCUUCCUCCAUUACACAGCCAUCCAGUUGCAGCUACGUUUUUUCUCUUCAAUUUCAGUCUUUCAAUGAGACAAUUAGGACACAAAUGCGAAAAUAUGAAGGAAAGAUGGCUUUACUCAACUGAAAAUGAAGUGUAUUUUUCGAUUUUACCCUUGAAAAUAUGCCCACGUGAGAGAGACGUGCUAUUUUCAGUAGGAGAAAUGAGCAAAUACGAGCAUUAGGACAAAAAUGGAUCAUAAUUUAAAUGUUAGAGACAAUUCUCGCUGAUUAUAAAUGAUAGGGACUAAAAAAGUUUUUUUGGCAAAUGUUAGGGACCAAUUUGACAAAUUUCCCUUAUUAUUAUUAUUGGGGUUUUUGAUUGGUGAAAAACUUGUGUAACAAACAUAACUCAAAGAAGUGUCCGUAUUUUUUUUUCCAAUCCCUUUCACUUACAUUUUUUCUCUCCGAACCACUAAAUCCAUUCCUCCCCUACUCAAGGAAGUGUUUUUAUGUAACAUGUUUGCAAAAGUUUGAUAGCACUUUUUAAUAUCACAUAAAAAAAGAUCAAAUUACAAACUCUUCAAUAUUAUACAUUACAUUGAGCAAUGUAUAUUUUCAAGACAGAUACUUUGUUGGAUCCAUGCAUGAUAUUGAAAAUGAUGUACAAAACAUUUAUUAUCUAGACUACACAUUUUUCAAAGUUAAAUUUGAGCCAUCUUGACCGUUAACCUUUCCAUAACAAUUUCCUAAACAGCUAAAAAUAAACCGUUCCUAUCUCUCGUUUAUAGGCAGAGAUCUAGAACUAGUGUAUUACUAUCUUUUUCAAGAAGUUUGAAAAUGAAUCAGAACAGCUUAGGCUUCUGGAGAAAGGGAUUUUGGACUUGGAAAUUAUAUGAAUUGUUAGAAGGUGAGAACCGAACCAGGGAAGAAGUCACGAGUCAUGACCCGCGUAUACUAUAAGAGCGAUCAACGUUGUUGUCUUGUUAUUGGUAAAAGAUGGACCAAACAAGCUAACAGCUGUGAAGCCCGUGAUGCUUUUAACAUUUUUUCUUCACAAUCACACUGUGAAGGUCAUGGUACUUCGUUUCUUUAGAACGCUUCUUAUUUCCGUUAAAGUCGUCAAAAUAAUGCUUGAAUUGACUUUUUCUUUUUUCCUUUUUUCCUGCUACAGUGAAGUUGAGAAGGAUCGUUGGGACUUCCCGACUCAAGAUGACAACAUGCAUAUAAUAUAAAGCAGACUAAGGGCUUGUUUGGAAGUCCAAGUUUUUACCAAGUUUUUAUUAUACUAGUUUUUUAACAACUUGUGCUACAGGAACCCCAAAAACUUAUCACAGUUUUUUAACCUACACACUUAAAAUAUCCAAAACACAAAAAAAAAACUCCCUUCCCCUUUUCUUCUUCUUCCUCCCCCACCACUACCUCCGUCAACUGCUCCGUCACCGGUCACCACCUCCGCCACCGGUUCCGGUGCCGAUUUUUUUUUUCCUUUUUCCCUCUUCCCCCGCAAGUUUUUUUUUUCUCUCUGCGUCUCCCCCCUCCUCCUCCACCACCCUUCCCCUUCCCCUCUGGCCGAUCUGGUCGCGAGACCAGAUCGCACCGAGGGAGGGUGAGGGUGGUGGGGAAAAGGGAGGACAGAGGGACAGGGGGGAUUUGCCUAAAAAAAAAAAAUUGACGGGUGGCGGGAUUCGGGGGGUAAACGGGAAGGGGAAUAGGGGAGGGGAAGGGGCCAAGGAGUGACGGGGGGAGGGGGAAGGUGGCGAGGGGGUGGCGGGGCAAUGAGGGUGGCGGGGUAGAGGGGGAAGGUGGGCCUGUUUGGAAGUUGCGGGGGGAGGGGGAAGGCGGGCAGAGGGGGAGAAGCAAAGCAGGGGAAGGCGAGGGGAGGGGGUGGCGGGGAAGAGGGGAUGGCGGAAAGCAGGGGGAAGCGGGGUGAGGGGAUGGCGGGGGGAGGGGGAAGGUGGGCAGAGGGGGUGGCGGAGGAAGGGGGUGGCGGGGCAGAGGGGGAGAAGCAAAGCAGGGGGUGGUGGGAGGUGGCACUGCUGGAGGCAGAGGUAACGGGGAAGGGGGAAGAAGAAGAAGAAGAAGAAGAAGAAAGAAAAGAGAAAGGAAAGAAAGAAAAAAAAGUUUUUAACCCUACAAAAAACUUCUACAAAAUUUUUCUCCUUACAAAAAACUUCUACAAAAAUUUUUCAAAAACUUCUACAGUGCACUACAGUAAAGUUUUAGACAAACUCUCAAAAAACUAGGGUUCCAAACAGGCCCUAAGUAAACCGUGCUGUUUGUCUUUCAAUUGUUUAGUCUAUAAGCCUAUUAAUUUUGCCCCUCGUCGAGGUCCUUAAUUCUACCUUACAAUUUAUAUUGUGAACCUAUUAAAUUUUUAUGGUUGGUUUGAAAUAUAUGAUUUUUGGAUGUUUGUAUAAAAUUUUACUAUAACUUAUUGUGAAAUCGACAAAAAAAAAAUUGGGUGUAUUUUUAGGGUUUGGAAAAAUUAAAAAUUUUCCCUUUUUUGUCUUCUUUUUCUUUUCCUUUUUUUCUUUUCUUUCGUUUUUCUUUCCCUUUCUUCCUUCCUUCUCCUUCCUCUCCCACAUCCCCGUACCAGAUUAAAUCAGAGCUCUUCCUCCCUCCCAACUGUCGCGCGGCAGCCUCCUGCCACCACCGGCGGCGAUGGAAACUCCUUUUUUUCCCCUUCUCUAUGUCUCCCUCCCUCUCCUCUUUCGUCUUUCAUCUCUCUUCCCUCCCUCCCUUCUUCUCUUCUCCUAUCUCCUUUCCUCCUCCUUCUCCUCCUCUUUCCUUCACCAGCUCCACUCGAUCAGAGGGGGAGAGGGGGCCGAUGAAAAUGGGGAGGAGGGGGCCAAUGAAGAGGGGGAAAUGAGAGAAGGAAAAAGAGAGAGGAAGAGAAUAAGGAAAAAAAGAGGGAAAAAGGAAGGGGAAGAGUGUUGGCAUCAGUGCAAUCGGAGUCAACAUAGGCAACGGUGGGAAAAUAGUGACGGCAGGUUGACGUGGGAGGGUAGUGAUUGAUUAGUAAGAUGACAUAUGUUUUUGAUAUUUUCGAAUGUGUAUUUUAAAAAAUUUAGAAAUAUUUUUUAAAAUUAUUGUAGAUAAAGUUACUAAAAAAACUUGUCCAAUAAAAAACACACUACCAAGCAAACCCUUAGAUCUAUGAACAAGCAAAGUUGAAGUUUAAUCAAUGAAAUUGCUUGUGGAACAGUAGUAUUUUAAUGAUUACUUUUCCUGUGUCAUUAUGCAUUAUCUCGUAAAUUGUGUCUGACAUUGGUGAAUUUGAGGAUCAAAGAUUUGCCCUUAAGACCUUUCAUAACUCAUGACGUCUGGGAUUCGUCGUCAAGUUUUGUGUACAACCAAAAAAAAUCUGUAAACGUGUGGGUUACACGCUUGAUGCGGAAGAAAUGUUGCCUGUGGACUUCUGAGGAUUAGAAAUCUGGAAAUGUUUGAUGCGUUAAAAUUUGAUGGUCCAAGGAAAGUGCUUCACGAUUGAGAUAGCAUCCAAACAGGUACUAGGGGACAGAAAUGGUACUGGAGGGCCCCCAAGAGUUAAGCCUAUGAUAAUUGAGCACCAUCAAACAUGGCCAUCAGCGUCUUCCACCACUCUUUCCAAAAUGAAGUACUAAUCAUUAGACCAACAAUCCAUCUCCUCCUCCUUUUUUUCUUUUUCUCUUUUCCCCCUCUUUUUGGUUUCCAUUUUAAUCCUAUAAAAGUGCUCCAUUCAGUUUUUGAAUUAAAAAAAAAAUUCAUGCACAUUUUUUUCAGUCAUCAUUUCCCCUUUUUUUUAACAAGUGAGAGUUUUGGGUUCAAAAUCUCCCAUUUAUAAUCCCUCCCGUCUUAUCAUCCAAGCCAACCCAACUCUCUCUGGGUCGUUUCAGGUUAUAACAUUACAAGUUAUUUUAUAAAAUUAUUUAAAAAAUGACCACCCAAACUGAACCAAUCUUGCUUGUAAGCUUCGCUCUUUUUUUUUUUUGGGCUCAGUUUAAACUGUUGAUCCUUGACCUAGAAAAAUAGCAGUCCAAACAUCCCGAAGUGAGCUUGUUUGGAUUGAAGUUUUUCCAAAGAAGAAUUUUUACAUUUUUUUCUAAAAGAAUUUUUAAUUAUUUUUUAUCUCGCAUAUAUCAAAUUGUCAUAAUAUAUUUUUCUAUAAAAAAUCUAAAAAAUUGCAAUUCAAAUAUGCUCCAAGAUAAUUUAGUACAAUCAAAUAUGGUCCUCAUCUUCUUCAACCACUCUUUAUAAAAAUGAAGUACUAAUAAACUGUAGGACCAACCAUCCAUCUUCUCCUUAUCUUUUAUUUUCGUUUGCCUUUGCAAUUCACUAAUCCCACAAAAGAGAAUUCCAUUCAGUUUUUUUUUUUAAUUUUUAAUAAGAAAACAUUUUUUUCAUGCAUAUAUUUUUCAGUUAUCAUUUCAUGUUACAAGUACAUUUAUGUAGAAAAUGAUUAGUAAUAAUGUCAAAAAUUAUUCAAAAAACCACCAUCCAAAGAAAGCUGAAGUUCAUUGUAGCCAGUAAGCUUCUUUCUUUUUGAUUGGGCCCAGUUUGAGAACUACUUUGGAUCAAUCCAGCAGCUUAACUUCUAGAUUCCUGACCCAAAAAAAUAGUAGUGCUUUACCCUUCCAUCCGUCAGCAUCACCCCUGAUCUGUCAUCUCUUGCGGGCUCGUUACUACCAUUUCUCAAAUCAGAUAAAAUUGCAUUGGACCUAGGGAUGUACGCGAGCCGAGCUACUCGCGAGUAGCUCGGUCAACGACUCGGCUCGAACUCGGGUUGACCGAGUUCGAGCCGAGUUUCGAGUAACUCGAAUGAAAAUCGAGUCGAGUUUCGAGUUGAAAUAGUCCAACUCGAGUCGAGUCGAGUAGCUCGACGAGCGGGAGUUAUUUAAAUAAUAUAUUUAUAAUUUAAAUAAUAUAUAUGUAUUAUAAUUAUAAAAUGACCAUUAUGGGUAUAAGUUAUGAAAUUUACAAUAUAUCCUUCUUUAUAAUAAAAUCCUAUAAUGGCAAAAAAGUAAUAACAUAAUUGUAAAAAGACCUAAAAUGAAAAAAAAUUUCGAGCCUCGAGUAUCGAGUCAAGCCUCGAGCCUAAAGGAAAUUUUUCGAGUCGAGUCUCGAGUAUCGAUUUUUUGGGCUCGCUCGAGCUCGAGUCGAGCUCGAGCUUUGGUGUAUAUGAGUCGAGUCGAGCUCGAGUAUAGCAAUACUUGAGCUCGACUCGGCUCGAUUACACCCCUACCCACUAUACAACCGGCUGAAGUUGAAGAGAUCAAUACUAAAACUUUAUAAAAUGUCAAAAGCAACCUUUAAAACAUCCUAAUUCAUGAAACAGCCCAACAUUCAGCUUCGACCACCAAUCACAAAACAAAACUUCAUGAUUGGCGGCACACUCCAACUAGGUGAAAAAAGGGCAUCCAUUUUUUUCUUUUUGAAAAGAAAAGGGCAUCCAUUUUCGGUUCCUGCUUUCAACCCUGCCAUGUCACAUCCUUCCCUCAAAAUUCAUCAAAUCUCAAGUUAUUUACAAUACCUCAUAAAGUAGCCGCUUAACAUAUCCAACAAUCAAAUCAUCACCAAGGUUUCAACUAUGAAACAUAAAAAUCUCUUCCAACUCAAGUCAAAAUUUAAUCUAAAUUCAAAGACUAUUUGUCAAACUUUAUGUAAGCGCAAUAGCAAUUGAGCAAUUGGGAAAAAAGAAAUGAGGCCCAAGUAAGAGACUGCAUUUAGCAAAAUUGAGUUUAUCUAAUUCGGCGUCAAUGUUUGAGGAGAAGAGUUCGAGUGAAGGGCAACAGAAGGAUGAAUUGGGCAGCGAGCAGGGGAAAAGAUGAAGAAGAAAAUGUUGCAGAUAGCAAUCAAGCAGAUAAGACGAUAAGACGGUAGCGCAGUUGUCUGGGAAUCAGGACAACAAUUGUAAGGUUGGGGUAUGCUCGUAACUUUGAAUUAAGUCACGGAUUGUAGUCUAAUUGUUUUCCAUUUGCAUUCUGCAGUGGACUCCAAGUUUAAGGUAAUAUUGUCAAGGGAUAAUUUAAAAAACCUCUCCUAAUGUUUCUGACAAUUUUUUUCCUCGGCUUCCUUAAGGAUUACACAAUUACAGGGACUUUUCUUCUCGUGUAAUAAAAGGAGAAUAAUGCCCUUCAUUUAAUUGUCAAUUCAUCAAAAAACUCUUCCAGAAAUUAGCCUCUCUUAUUUAUUAUCAAUCAAUAACUCAAACUACGGCUUUCUCUAUCUAACUCUAUAUUCUCUUCCUCUAACAUUUGCUUUUCUUCCAAACUCAUUUAUAUAUUCUUAGCGACCAAAUAAUGUGUAUUGUCGUCACCAAUAAAGUCACCAUACAUUAUUUAGCUAGCUCAACAUACUCAAUUUCUUCCUAGUUCCUCUGCUUCUAUCUUCUUAUUUAUUCUUCAAUUUUCAGUUCCAACUAUCCCUGAUUCACAGUUUGAUUAUAACAAUCUUCGUGCUGCCAAAUUAUUCAGGAUAAAAGAUAUCAUUACAAUAUAUCUCUGGUCUCUGUAGGCAAGUCUAGAACAACAAUAAGAACAGAGAUUAUAACUUUGUUCUGGGCCCUGAUCAUAAUACCAUUGCCUUAAUAUGAAGACGUGGUGAGCUGAAAAGAACGCAUAAAAACACGCUGGGAAUUCGGUUCGUCACACAAACAGGACCGCAUUCCUAAGUAGUUAAGACUUACAGAGGCAGCAUAUUGGGCUGGUGGGAACAGGUGCCAUGGGGUAUCCAACUCAACAGUAGAUGGAUAAUAUCCCUUCUUCUGCAUCUUCGUCCAUGAUUAAACCGAGCGAAUUCAUCCAUAAGUCGCUGAAAUAGCACUGUCAACGGGUACGGCAAUGUUGAGAACGAAAAGAAGACUGCCAGACAAAGUGAAAUUAGGCAGUGGCGCAUCCACCAGCGUGAAAAUACAAGUGAGAAAAGAGAUGCCACUGAAAUGGAUCCAAAUAUGGCCAAGGAUAUACUGUUCUUGGUAGCAUAAGAGAUGCAGUAUAGGAGUGUACUUGUGGAAGCUAAGAACAUGAUGUUGGGAUGAGCUUCAAAUGGGUUUGUUUCCCUCGCUUGAUACUUCAGUCCCAGAAAGUUGAGCACUAGUGGAAGAGUAAACUGGAAAAAUGCAUGGGAACUGCUCAAUCUGGGGCUUCUUGGAGGUUGAGAGAUUAUGAUUCUUGAGUUAAAGAACAACGUCAUGUUAGAUUGUAAUGUGAAGAAGUAGAGGUUUCCAUCAGCGGGAUAAGAGUCCAUCUCAUCAAUGUACUUGUGUGGCCGAGUGAUGGUUUGGACUUGGGAAAUAUAUAAUGGCAAACGUGGUAGCCAAAAACAAUUUAAAAAAAAGGAAAGAUAUUUUCUUGGAUAAUAAAAAAAGAUGAAAUUAAAAUAGUGUUAGUUUACAGCAAUCGUUGUGGAGAAACUAACUCCCUUCAAAUCCUCAUUAACUAAAGAAGAUAUUUGUGGAGGGCAAAAGUUAAAAAUGCAAAACUUUUGUUUAGUUGGACUCCUCCCAAUUUUGCCAUUCCAUCUGCACUUCAAUUUGCUUUCCUGUAUAUAUGUGGAUGCGGCUUAAGCCUAGUAAACAAUUUUUUUUUGUAAAACAAAAUUUGGUGGGUUCAACUCCGAUCACCACCAUACGUCACGAUAUGCUUUCAGAACUAUAUAGGUCGCUUACAGAAAUUUUUACAGAUUGUCCAUUAACACAGACCUUACAUUAACAGUAAAAUUUGAACACACAACUUUUUAUGAGAAAGUGACUGUGUUGGAAGCCUAAUAAACAACGGUCACAAAAAGAAAAAAUGCACUUUGACGCGAAACUAUAGCUAGCUAGUAGCUACAGAUCAACUAUAGGUAUAUUUCUUAGUAUUUCUUUUCGUCCGAAAGUAAGCUGCAAUUUCCUUGUACGAUGAAAGGAACUUGCGAGGUCCCAUCCAGCUUUCGAACAGACGUGCGAUGUUAUCAACUUAUCACAACUUCGUUGCUUGAUGUUGUCAAAAUGUGAAAGAGGCAGUGGUCUCGGAGACCGCCGGAAAUUAAGUAAUUAUGCCAUCACACUUUGAUCAACGAAACUCUCAAAUGUAACAAUUAAUUUUUAAAAGGGAGUUCAGUGUUAAUUUUUUUUUAAAAAGUGAAAUUAUAAUUAAAAAGAAAAAGAAAAAUGUUUCAGGAUGUAAUAGGGGUAAUAAAUAUAGUUAUGUGUAUUUACAUAAUACAACAUUUAUAACAUCAGGCAAAUUUAGAGUAGGUUUGGAUUGUCAGCUUUUUAUAGAAAAGUGUCUUGAAUUUUGAAAAAAUAUUUUCUUACAUAUUUUUCAAUCAUUCUUUUACGUACUACAUAUAUAUAUAUAUAUAUAUAUAUAUAUGCGUGUGUAUCACAUCGUAUAUUUUUUUUAUAACAAUUCCAAAGAAUGGCAAUCCAAACCGGACCUUAAACGCUAAAGCCUCUUCCUUUCUUUUUUUCAAAAUGAGCCAGGAUUUAGAAGAGCAACAGUUUGGAAACAUGAGACCAUGGAAUCCAUGAAACGAUGAAUAUCAGAUGAUGCGCCUUGCCUUGUGAUCAGAUGAUUUGGAAUUCAUGAAACAAUGAUCGGAUGAUUGGAUGAUUAGAUGAUUAGAUGAUAAACAAAUAAAGUCUGUCUUUUUGUCAACUUCUUGGUGAUGGUUUGACGAUCUUUCCACCGCAUAAAGGUAUAGAGAUGGACGACUUGCUUUGGGCGACAUCAAUAUUCAGUAGUACUGCCGACAAGACAUUUUUGGGUUAAUUGCAAUAUGUACCCAAAAUCAUGAUUUAUUUGUUGUCACCUCCUGCAGUGGGUGUUAAUUAUUAACUUCAAUAAUUUGGAAUACCUUACUUUGAUACCAUUCACAAGGUUUUUUUUUUUUUUUUGAAGGAUACCAUUCACAAGGUUCAAUAAUUAAUCCGCAUUUCAUCAUCAAAUAUUACAUACUCUUCGUAUCUUAUGUUAUGAGAUUUUGAACAGCUAGUACUUGGCUGAAAAGAGGUAGACGGUUAAAAUUUGGCAAAUCAAUACGAAAAAAAUUCAAAUGCGAGGCUCGUAUCAUGUCAUGUACUUGUGAUACAAUUGACAUGUAUGGAUCCUUGUAAAUAGAAGCUAAGUAUCAUAUCUUUGGUACCUCAGCCUACAAUUUCUUUUCUUUUUCUUUUAAUACAUUAGAGGGCCAAGGGAUCCUUAUGAAUAAAAGCAAAAUACAGUAAAAUCUCUAUAAAUUAAUAACAUUGGGACCGUACAAAUUCUAUUAAUUUAAAAAGGUAUCAAUUAAUCAAUAAAUUAAUAAUUUAUUAAUUUGUCGAGUGUACUUACAAUUCAAAGAAACACUCAUUUACUCAACUAAAUUUUUAUUUUAUUUUAUAAAAAUAAGAAUUAUUCUAUUAAUAAAAGGAGGCUAAAAAUCUAAGAAAUAUAAACCAAUGCUUAUGUACUUGAUUUGCAAGUAUAAUUUAAUUGUAUUAAUAUCUUCAAUGUAUAUAACUGAUAUCAUUUUUCUAUUAUCAUUUAGGAAUAAUAAAUGAUAGAUGUCCACUUCUAUUUUAUUAAAUAUAUACAAUGAAUCAGAUUAAUAUUAUUAUAUAUAUAAAUGAUAUGAAAGUUUCUCAUCUAAAAGUUAUUCACAAAUCAAUCAUGACUGAUCAAAUGCGUAAAGUAUUAAGUGAGUAUAGUAGAGAGUACCCCACAUGCACUCAAAAAUAAUUGCAGCAAUGGAUUUCUGAUAGGAAAAUAUGAUAUGUAGUUUUAGUGCAUUAUUAAUUUACGACAUAAAUGGGACCAAAGGGUUACAUAAGAUUUUCAAAAGAUCUUAUUAUUUUAUUAUUCUAUCAAAAUUAUUAAUUUAGUUUGUUUGUCCAAGUUGAGAUCGAAAAAAUUAUUAUUUAAUAGAGGUUAUUAAUUUAUCGAAUAUUAGUUUAUCAAGAUUUUACUAUAUUUGUGGUACAUGAGUUUACAAUUUCGGUUUUUUCAAUAAAUUAGAGGGCCAAAGGCCCGUUAUGCAGAAACUAAUCCGGAUGCUGAAACUCCACUUAGAUCUUGGCCCAAUAGGUUUCUAAGAGUAAGUGGGGUUUCCAGAGACUAGUUAGCGUACCCAUGAGCUAGGCCCCUACUC
rnacentral:lncRNA from 1 species